AAUUCCAUUCUUUAGAGAAAACAUGCAAGAGCAAUAAGAUAGCGGCAAUAAUAUAGGGCAAGAAUCCAGUAAUUAUAUUAGCGUUCGUAGGGCAGAAUAGAGUAAGCAGUCCGUGUGUGUUAUUACUUUUGUCUAUAUAGAGCUCGAUAGAUUCCACUUUUGUCUAUAUGGAGCUCGAUAGAUUCAAUAAGGUAAGGAAGGCGCUAGAUUCAAUAAAGUCCUGAAGGCGGGCGCUAUAUUCUAUUCUUUCUUUA
rnacentral:lncRNA from 1 species